GAUGAAGAACGUAGCGAAACGCGAUAAGUAAUGUGAAUUGCAGAAUCCAGUGAAUCAUCGAAUCUUUGAACGCACAUUGCGCCCGCCAGCAUUCUGGCGGGCAUGCCUGUUCGAGCGUCAUUUCAACCCUCGACCUCCCCUUGGGGAGGUCGGCGUUGGGGACCGGCAGCACACCGCCGGCCCUGAAAUGGAGUGGCGGCCCGUCCGCGGCGACCUCUGCGCAGUAAUACAGCUCGCACCGGGACCCCGACGCGGCCACGCCGUAAAACACCCAACUUUUGAACGUUGACCUCGAAUCAGGUAGGACUACCCGCUGAACUUAAGCAUAUCAAUAAGCGGAGGA
rnacentral:misc_RNA from 1 species